AUACGUAGGGGGCAAGCGUUACUCGGAUUCACUGGGCGUAAAGCGAGUGUAGGCGGUCGGGUAAGUCAGAGGUGAAAGCCCUCAGCUCAACUGAGGAAUUGCCUUUGAUACUGCUCGACUUGAGGACAGGAGAGGAAAGUGGAAUUCCCGGUGUAGCGGUGGAAUGCGUAGAUAUCGGGAGGAACACCAGAGGCGAAGGCGGCUUUCUGGACUGCUCCUGACGCUGAGACUCGAAAGCUAGGGUAGCAAACAGGAUUAGAUACCCUGGUAGUCCUAGCCGUAAACGAUGGAUACUAGAUCUUGCACAGGAGUGCUUGGUCGAAGUUAACGCGUUAAGUAUCCCGCCUGGGGAGUACGGUCGCAAGGCUGAA
rnacentral:rRNA from 1 species